AACGAACGCUGGCGGCGUGGUUUAGGCAUGCAAGUCGAGCGAGAAAGUCCUUCGGGACGAGUACAGCGGCGAAAGGGUGAGUAAUAUAUAGGUAACCUACCUCUUGGACUCGGAUAAUUCCUGGAAACGGGUUGUAAUACGAGAUCGUCCUAUUGGGUCGCAUGGCCCGACUGGUAAAUGGUAGCUCUGCUUCUGCCGAGAGAGGGGCCUAUAUCCUAUUAGCUAGUUGGUGAGGUAAUGGCUCACCAAGGCUUUGAUGGGUAGCCGGACUGAGAGGUUGGCCGGUCACACUGGGACUGAGACACUGCCCAGACUCCUACGGGAGGCUGCAGUCGAGAAUCUUCCGCAAUGGGCGAAAGCCUGACGGGGCGACGCCGCGUGAACGAAGAAGGCCUUCGGUU
rnacentral:rRNA from 1 species